rnacentral:rRNA from 1 species
AUGAACGCUAGCUACAGGCUUAACACAUGCAAGUCGAGGGGCAGCAUGGUCUUAGCUUGCUAAGGCCGAUGGCGACCGGCGCACGGGUGAGUAACACGUAUCCAACCUGCCGUCUACUCUUGGACAGCCUUCUGAAAGGAAGAUUAAUACAAGAUGGCAUCAUGAGUCCACAUGUUCACAUGAUUAAAGGUAUUCCGGUAGACGAUGGGGAUGCGUUCCAUUAGAUAGUAGGCGGGGUAACGGCCCACCUAGUCUUCGAUGGAUAGGGGUUCUGAGAGGAAGGUCCCCCACAUUGGAACUGAGACACGGUCCAAACUCCUACGGGAGGCAGCAGUGAGGAAUAUUGGUCAAUGGGCGAGAGCCUGAACCAGCCAAGUAGCGUGAAGGAUGACUGCCCUAUGGGUUGUAAACUUCUUUUAUAAAGGAAUAAAGUCGGGUAUGCAUACCCGUUUGCAUGUACUUUAUGAAUAAGGAUCGGCUAACUCCGUGCCAGCAGCCGCGGUAAUACGGAGGAUCCGAGCGUUAUCCGGAUUUAUUGGGUUUAAAGGGAGCGUAGAUGGAUGUUUAAGUCAGUUGUGAAAGUUUGCGGCUCAACCGUAAAAUUGCAGUUGAUACUGGAUAUCUUGAGUGCAGUUGAGGCAGGCGGAAUUCGUGGUGUAGCGGUGAAAUGCUUAGAUAUCACGAGGAACUCCGAUUGCGAAGGCAGCCUGCUAAGCUGCAACUGACAUUGAGGCUCGAAAGUGUGGGUAUCAAACAGGAUUAGAUACCCUGGUAGUCCACACGGUAAACGAUGAAUACUCGCUGUUUGCGAUAUACAGCAAGCGGCCAAGCGAAAGCGUUAAGUAUUCCACCUGGGGAGUACGCCGGCAACGGUGAAACUCAAAGGAAUUGACGGGGGCCCGCACAAGCGGAGGAACAUGUGGUUUAAUUCGAUGAUACGCGAGGAACCUUACCCGGGCUUAAAUUGCAGAUGAAUUACGGUGAAAGCCGUAAGCCGCAAGGCAUCUGUGAAGGUGCUGCAUGGUUGUCGUCAGCUCGUGCCGUGAGGUGUCGGCUUAAGUGCCAUAACGAGCGCAACCCUUGUUGUCAGUUACUAACAGGUUCCGCUGAGGACUCUGACAAGACUGCCAUCGUAAGAUGUGAGGGAGGUGGGGAUGACGUCAAAUCAGCACGGCCCUUACGUCCGGGGCUACACACGUGUUACAAUGGGGGGUACAGAGGGCCGCUACCACGCGAGUGGAUGCCAAUCCCCAAAACCUCUCUCAGUUCGGACUGGAGUCUGCAACCCGACUCCACGAAGCUGGAUUCGCUAGUAAUCGCGCAUCAGCCACGGCGCGGUGAAUACGUUCCCGGGCCUUGUACACACCGCCCGUCAAGCCAUGGGAGCCGGGGGUACCUGAAGUGCGUAACCGCGAGGAGCGCCCUAGGGUAAAACUGGUGACUGGGGCU